GGGCAAAAUUUACAACCAGCGACAAGGAACGUCAAUACGGCUUGUAAGAUUAAGGGGGGAUUAAGGUGUUUUAUCUGGAACCUGGGGAACCUCUGGCGACCCAGGGGAGGGGACCUGCCCACGGUCGAGUGACCGUGCAUCUCAUUCCGGAAAGGUCCGGGGCGUCCGCCGGGCCAGACAGAACCAGCAGGACGCGGUCGCAGUGGUCACCCCUCCGGUUUCUGCAUAUCGAUAACCUCUUUAACGCACCGGAUGGAUGUCCUCAGCUGGCCAACAUAGCCUGAUGAAGACUUGUUGGAGGUCAACGCAUGUACCGUACAAGAUGUUCAGCAUGGUAACUGGUACAGGUGCUCAACACCGAAGGCUUGUUGGAGGUCACGGCCCGUGCAAGAGGUUCAGGUAGACACAACCACACAUCACUCGAAGACAGUAGUGGUAUUAACUUUCCCAAACAUUGUCGAUCCGUCGGCCGCUUACAGUGUAUUUCUGCACCGUCGGGCCCAUUGUUUAACAAAACAGCCUGUUGGGGCUGCGGUGUAGCUGCCGUAUUGUGUGUCUGAAGCCCGAGUCCGGCUCCGUCUCUCCCUCAGAAGUCCGGACUCCCGUCCCUCCCCUCCGCUCAGAUCUGGGGCUUCACGGUCCGACCGGCUCUGACACGCGCGCCUCUCCUUUGGCUACGGCGGAAACCCAACAGCUGGGCGUCUGGCCCGCCGGUCUGCUCCUCACCGUGGAACAAGGGCGUGGGAAACCGCGUCGCCGGCCGCCAUGUUUUCGUACGGCCCGUUACCGGAGUCCCGUGUUUUCCACCGGUCCACAUGGCCGCCGUCUGGUCGACCAGCCCCGCCCUACCCCCAGCCCCCUCCCCGACGGUUACCCACAAGCCCCUUCUCCGAGAAAAGGCUGUCUUUGGGAGCAGGAAGCGGUGUCGCGGAGUUCAUCGAAUCUUUAAGAGCAGGCUGUUCUCCAUCAGCCAAAUGGGCCUCUCCAUCACCCGAAUGGACAAACCCCGGUACUCGUGCGGUUCUGACUGCAAAUUCAUUACCAGACCGUACUUUUAGAUUAGACUUUAUUACAGAUAGAGCGUCCUUUCCAUUCAUUAUGUUCUCUUUUUGCUAAGCCUUUAGUAGCACUUAGCCUUUAGAGUGCACGGCUGAAAUCUGUUACAGAGCAUAACUAUUACGGUUUUAACACAGGUGCCGCAUUAUGUCUGAAAACCAAACCGUUCAUUUAGAGGUUGAAUAUUAACAUAAGUGCAACACAAAGGUAAGGUAAGGACGGAUAAAAUGUGUAGAAAAUUAAAACAAGUUCAGUUCCAUUUUAUUCGGUCCUGCAUUUUAGCACUACCAGUAAUACAAUUCAUACUAUUAUAAUAACUAUACAUAUUUCUGUGCAUCUAUAGAAAUACCCCCAGUGAGAUUAAAGAAAGAAAGCAUAGUGCAGUGGUCGGAAGCACUACAGCAUAAUUGGUGUACAUUUGAUUGCCCAGUGGGACACUGAUGUGAGGCACUUAACUUCAAUUUAAUAUUUAAUAUAGUUAAUAUUCCGCUAAAUAACAGCAAAUGCAAGUUAAGCCAGUGCGCAUCUGGGAAAAGAAUCAAAUAAACACAUUUUCACAAAGGCAACGUUCUAGCGUCGCUCCAGACCAGCUUUGUUAGCGCGGAGACGCACAGUAGCUCUUUGGCUAAUUUGGAAAUGGGCUUCAAACCUGCGCCUCUCCCUCUCUCCCUCUCAGCCCCAAUCAUGGAAAUAAGCUGCCGCUGGUGACAGGGGGG